AUUGAACGCUGGCGGCAUGCUUUACACAUGCAAGUCGAACGGUAACAGGCCUUCGGGUGCUGACGAGUGGCGAACGGGUGAGUAAUGCAUCGGAACGUACCCAGAGGUGGGGGAUAACGCAGCGAAAGCUGUGCUAAUACCGCAUGUGAUCUGAGGAUGAAAGCGGGGGACCGAGCAGCAAUGUUUGGCCUCGCGCCUUUGGAGCGGCCGAUGUCGGAUUAGCUAGUUGGUGGGGUAAAGGCCUACCAAGGCGACGAUCCGUAGCUGGUCUGAGAGGACGACCAGCCACACUGGGACUGAGACACGGCCCAGACUCCUACGGGAGGCAGCAGUGGGGAAUUUUGGAAAAUGGGCGCAAGCCUGAUCCAGCAAUGCCGCGUGCGGGAAGAAGGCCUUCGGGUUGUAAACCGCUUUUGGAAGGAACGAAACGGUGUCCGCUAAUACCGGGCGCUAAUGACGGUACCUGCAGAAUAAGCACCGGCUAACUACGUG
rnacentral:rRNA from 1 species